UACGUAGGGCGCAAGCGUUAUCCGGAAUUAUUGGGCGUAAAGAGCUCGUAGGCGGCCAACUAAGUCGGAUGUGAAAUCCCCAGGCUUAACCUGGGAACUGCAUCCGAUACUGGAUGGCUUGAAUCCGGGAGAGGGAUGCAGAAUUCCAGGUGUAGCGGUGAAAUGCGUAGAUAUCUGGAGGAAUACCGGUGGCGAAGGCGGCAUCCUGGACCGGCAUUGACGCUGAUGAGCGAAAGCUAGGGGAGCAAACGGGG
rnacentral:rRNA from 1 species